rnacentral:lncRNA from 1 species
UCUCUAAUUCAGUUUCAGGUUCUGCUGCUAAUAUUUCUACUAGCAUCAAUUCAAUUCCAAUGUUUAAUGGCACAAAUUUCAGGGCAUGGCUAGAGAACGUGAUGAUUGCUCUCAGAGUCAUGGACCUGGACCUUGCUUUACGGGUCGAUCAACCUGAUGCACUUACUGAUAAGAGUACCUCUGAUGAUAAGAGGGAGAUGGAAAAGUGGGAACAAUCGAACCGCAUAAGCUUAAUGGUCAUGAAGCGUGCUAUUCCAGAAGCAUUCCGGGGCACUAUGUCUGAUAAUGUGACUACGGCUAAGGGUUUUCUUGAGGAUCUUGAGAAGAGGCUUGCCAAGAAUGAAAAGGCUGAAACAAGUACACUUUUGGCAAACCUUGUCUCAAUGAGGUAUAAAGGGAAAGGAAACAUUCGGGAGUACAUUAUGUAAAUGUCUCACAUUGCUUCAAAACUAAAGGCACUCAAGUUGGAUUUAUCUGAAGACUUGUUAAUGCACUUGGCUCUGAUAUCCCUUUCAGCACAUUUCAGUCAAUUCAAGGUGAGCUACAACUGUUAAAAGAACUCAUAGUCCCUUAAUGAGCUCAUCUCACACUGUGUCCAGGAAGAGGAAAGACUGAAGCAUGAAAAAAUAGAAAGUGCUCAUUUGGCCACUACCUCUAAGGACAAAGGAACAAGAAAAGGAAGAUUAAUAAGGAAGCUGCGGGUAUGGCACUGCAAAAGAAAUAGCAUAAGGAACCGACUGAAGGUAGUUGUUUCUUCUGUGGAGCUACAGGUCAUAAGAAGAAUAAUUGCACUAAUUACCAUGCAUGGCGUGUAAAGAAAGGUACUCUUCUUCAUUUGGUUUGUUCUGAGGUUAAUUUAACUUCGGUAACUAGAAAUACGUGGUGGAUAAAUUCUGGUGCAACAACUCACAUAAGUAUGUCUAUGCAGGGUUGCCUGAGUUGCUGAAAACCAAGUGAUGGUGAAAGAUACAUCUAUGUUGGCGACGGCAAAAGAAUGGAAGUAGAGGCAAUAGGAAAAUUUAGAUUAUUGUUAAAGACUGAAUUUUAUUUGGAUC